AGGCUCGGAAAAAGGGGCAAAAGACAAUUCUCUUGGCAACCGUCUCAGAGCUUGGACGUAAGCUGGAGGAAGUUCAGAGCAGGUGGAAACCAACUCAACUUGAAAAAGCUACACUGCAGAAGAGACACUUGAGCUAGGUCUUCAAGCACACUAAUCCUCACAAUAACAUAAGUCAAUAUUUAUUUUCUAUUUUCUUAACAGAUGAUAUUCCUUACUCUCUAUAUCAUAAAUGAUUGCACCUGACUCUGCUCAGUUCAUGUCUUCUUUGCCAUCUUCCUCAUUUCAUGGUUUGUCUCCUUAUUAAGAUCACAAGGUCCUGGUGGAUAGAAAAUAUAUAUUAUUUCUGUACUCAUCACAGUGCCUUGGCAGUCUUGAAAGUAUAUAAAAUGUAAGAAGGUGUAGCAUUAAACUAGUUGUAAGUUAUUAUGUUUUUCCUUUGCACUAAAGUUGCUAGAUAUUUAGGCUUCUAGGAAUGAGGAGAAUGUUGUAAUUUGAAAGGUACACUUAUAUCAUUUAUGCAAAUUUAACUGUAUCAGAGUCCCAACUGGAAAAGAUGACACACUCAACAAAGGGGGCUUCUCUCCAAAGGGAUUACUUACUAAAGUGUAAUAAUAAUGGUUCUAAUAAUAGUGAAGGAGAUUUUCCAGUCUUAGAGACAAUGGUAGAACUCUGAAUAAGAGUUCCCUGUAGAAAAGUCUUCUGAAGAGUAGUGAGUUUUGGUCAAAAUACAGAGCCAGCCAUAGAUAAUCCCAGAGCAAGGGAGUCAGGGAAGUACAUACAGA
rnacentral:lncRNA from 1 species